UGUAGCGGUGGAAUGCGCAGAUAUCAGGAGGAACACCGAUGGCGAAGGCAGGUCUCUGGGCUGUAACUGACGCUGAGAAGCGAAAGCAUGGGGAGCGAACAGGAUUAGAUACCCUGGUAGUCCAUGCCGUAAACGUUGGGCACUAGGUGUGGGGAACAUUCCACGUUUUCCGCGCCGUAGCUAACGCAUUAAGUGCCCCGCCUGGGGAGUACGGCCGCAAGGCUAAAACUCAAAGAAAUUGACGGGGGCCCGCACAAGCGGCGGAGCAUGCGGAUUAAUUCGAUGCAACGCGAAGAACCUUACCAAGGCU
rnacentral:rRNA from 1 species